GGGUGAGAUCAUACUAGCGUUAAUGCAUCAGAUCCCAUCAGAACUCCGUAGUCAAGCGUGCUUGGGCUAGAGUAGUACUAGGAUGGGUGAUGUCUCGGGAAGUCCUAAUGUUGCACCCU
rnacentral:rRNA from 1 species